rnacentral:rRNA from 1 species
CCUACGGGCGGCUGCAGUGGGGAAUAUUGCACAAUGGGGGAAACCCUGAUGCAGCGACGCCGCGUGAGUGAAGAAGUAUUUCGGUAUGUAAAGCUCUAUCAGCAGGGAAGAAAAAAGACGGUACCUGACUCAGAAGCCCCGGCUAACUACGUGCCAGCAGCCGCGGUAAUACGUAGGGGGCAAGCGUUAUCCGGAUUUACUGGGUGUAAAGGGAGCGUAGACGGUGCGUCAAGUCUGAAGUGAAAGCCCGGGGCUUAACCCCGGGACUGCUUUGGAAACUGGCGCGCUAGAGUGCUGGAGAGGUAAGUGGAAUUCCUAGUGUAGCGGUGAAAUGCGUAGAUAUUAGGAGGAACACCAGUGGCGAAGGCGGCUUACUGGACAGUAACUGACGUUGAGGCUCGAAAGCGUGGGGAGCAAACAGGAUUAGAUACCCGAGUAGUC